AAUAUAUGCUGGAUGUCAUCGUAAUAUAAACAUCAAGAGUCUGAAAUCUCUCUAAUAAAAUUCAGCCUCACCAAGAAAGAUAUGAUAUCAAUACAAGCUCCUAACUAUCGUGAAUUUGAAGGCUUACAAACAAAAGAAUUACAUAAUCUCGUAUAGUUGUAUUCACCACACCACACCACACCACUCCACAUUCCACAAUAAAAUGGGAAGAAAAAUUAACUAUCAGAAAAAUCACAUCACAGAUGAAACUUGCUUGAAUUUGACACAGACGAUCUGCAAUCUGCAUACCAGAUCCCAAUUUCUAGAUGUGCAAGGAAAUAGUAUUUGGAAUCCCAAGCUAUUCGACAGAGGCAACUUAGCAACUCCAAUAUACAUUCGUCUAUGAUCUAGGCAACAAUAGAAGGAUCCUUUGCUGUCAAAUUUGACAACGCAAAAUUCCAUUUUUCUCUCGUUUUUGUACCAGCAACUUGCCCUGCCUUAGCUACUUUACUGAAAGCACCAUUCAGCCAGGCAGCUCCAGCAUUAACAUACCUGCUUGAUUUGACUGCUGAUCCUGUGUCAUUCAAUUUCCGUUCUGCUGCCAUAACUGCAGCCAUCGUUUUAUCUGACACUUGAAGCCUUUGAUCAACAGAUUUAACUUUCUCAUUUACAACAGAAAUUCCAACCGUAAGCUUUUCUGUUAGCCCAACUCUUCGGUCAAAGGAAAUGACUCGAGCAGAUGCAGUGGCUCUUAGCUGAUGUUUCUCAUCAAAUGCCUUGGCUUUAU
rnacentral:misc_RNA from 1 species